rnacentral:lncRNA from 1 species
CUGGUGGCCCAAGCUGAUAUUUGCAAAAUAGAAUUGGCUUUGCAUUUUAGGUUAGAAUUAUAGAGAAUUAGGAAUUUAGGAGGAGAGCUCCCAGCUUUGUGCCGCCAGCCUCCAGGUCUUGGAUAAAGGGGUUCUGCUCCGGCGAGGUGGUACCACAACUUGGACGACGACAAUGGUGGCAGGAACUGUGCUACUCGCAGACGCCGCUAUGGCACGACGAGAAGUCCAUCUUCUUUAUGUCAUCCGAAUCAAGUGAAAGGGGUUAAUAAUCAACCUUCUCUUCUUCUCCUUCUCCUUCUCCUUCUCCGGCGAGGUUGUUGUAUGAAUUAAGUAGCAUGGACAGUGAGGGAUCGGGUUGCCCACUGAGAUGGUCUGGAACCUCUGGGUUCAGGGUGGCAGGAACCACGAAGAAGACAAUGUGCAUAUGGACGGGAUUUGAUGAGGGUGGUGGUGCCUCAGUGGCUCUGGCUCGGCUCCACUGUUCCUUGGCUUCGAUGGACAGUGGCGAGUAGAAUGGAUGAACCACUGAACCGAUUGCUUCUUCUUCAUCUUCUGCGGUCAUCACGGCGUGGUUCCGAGCCGCACACAGUGGUUACUGGAAUACAUUGGGGUCCAACCACCCCUCUCUUUGGCCGGGCCGAAUGGGUUAUGAACCCACUACCGGAUCUUGUUGGUAGAGGUGUAACCGGAAGCUUAAGAACCAGUUUUGCAUAGGGUAUUUUUGGCUUGUGCAAAGUAUAAAGGCUUAAAAUUCUCUUAAAAAUAUUUUUUAGUUAUGAAUACAGGUUGUUAAUGAUUCAGUUUGAGGGAUUAAGAG